GUGUACAUGUAAGUAUAUGAAAUAUGUGUUUACAUAUUUUUUCGAUGUCGUCGAUAGAUGUCAGAAACAGUAAUCAGAAUUAUUCGGUAAUAUAAAGUAAAAUAAAUAUAUAAUAUAUAAUUUUCAUUGCUUGAGUAUCCAAAUUUUUACGAUUUUUAAUAUUCAUAUAGUUAAUGUACACAUAUAUUUAAUUUUUUUCUGCUAUUAUUACGCCACUAGUGAUCAUAUUGUUGAAUAGUCACCUGUUGAAUCCAACUAAAUUCUGUCAUACAAUUACAGAAAUAUCUCUCAUUGAAUGUAUAAAAAUAUCUAAUCUUUAUAUAAUUUAAAUUUCACUUAUAAUGACUUUAUAACAUAUCUAUACUUCAUUAAUAUUUAUUGUGCUACAAUAUCAAGAGUAGUUAGGAAAUGACUGCUUCAUCCCAAGGACCAUAGAUGUUAUUUUUAAAUUGUUUACAUCUAAUAUACCAAAGUGGACAAAUGAAAUGAAUGAAUACCACAACUAUGAUAAAAACAUAGGAGCAUACAUUAGACAUGGGAAAUAAUACAAAAAAUUGUACCGAAACAGUUAAAAGUGAAAAUGCAUGUAAAGGUGAAGCAAGUCUGGAUGCUAACAUUAAUGAACCAAAAAUAGAUGAAGUGAUAGACAAGGAAUCAGAAAAAAAGAUUUCCGUAGAACCAUACUUGUUAAAUAUUAAAUGAAUAUAAUAAUGACAUUUGGGGUGGUCCAUUCAUUAUAUAACCAAAUAAAUAUGAUAACAAAGAGAACUGGAAUACUUAAACGAAUCGAUAUACUGGCAGCUAAAUUAAUAGCUUCCAGUCGAGAAACAUAAUCAGAUUUUACAUUCU